rnacentral:rRNA from 1 species
AACGGAGGGGGCGAGCGUUGCCCGGAUUUACUGGGCGUAAAGCGCGCGUAGGCGGCUGCGUAAGUGGGGAGUUAAAGCCCUCGGCUCAACCGGGGACAUGCACCUCAAACUGCGAGGCUUGAGUGUAGGAGAGGGGAGUGGAAUUCCCGGUGUAGCGGUGAAAUGCGUUGAUAUCGGGAGGAACACCGGUGGCGAAGGCGGCGCCCUGGCCUACCACUGACGCUGAGGCGCGAAAGCGUGGGGAGCGAACGGG